rnacentral:misc_RNA from 1 species
AGUUCUCAACCACAUUGUGAUGUGGAUUGGACAUGGGAAUUUUUGCAGGCCUUUCAAAGAGGUCUGCUUUCCUGAAACAGAUUAGUGGUAUCUGAGCAGAGACCUACUACGGGUGUGAUAAACCAUCUAUGCCUAUUUGUAGAAUGCUGCGACAGGACUGCUUCGAAAAUCUCAUUUGUUGACCA